UAACUCUUGCUGUCGAUUAAUGAUUGUCAAGUUCUUAUCGGAUGUAACAGAUGAUAAUAGACAUCAUAACGUGCAUAUGCAUAUGUCAUAAUUCGGUUGUGAUGGGACUAAGUUUUUUUUUUAAAGUGCCAUAUGUGUAGCGCUAACAGGAUAGGGAGAGGGGGUGGGGAAGCCCCUACUACCUCCAUGAAAAAUCAUGAAUGUUAUCUGGAAAAAGAUGUAAAUUGUAACUAAAAUUUCAGUAGCAUCUACUGAAGAAUGUUUUAUCUGAGAUAGUUGCUACGGUACUUUUCACUAAAUGACUUAAUGGACUUACGUUGCUGUAAAAAAAGCAAAAGAAAGAAAAAACACCUUCAGUACUUGAGCCAUAUUGGCAUCAAAUUUUUCCAUCCUUUUUCAAUCAUUCUCUAUAUGUGACGGGAAAACAGCAUCUUGAUUAAACAAGCAAGUUUCAACUCUAGAAGAUUAGAAGGCAAUGUACAUGUACUGAAAUUAUUUUCAACUUCUCACACAUGAUCCAUCUUCAGCCAAGAGGGAUUAGACAGUUGCUCAUGUAAAAAAUGAGUUUUUUUCUACUGCACAUGAAAAAUACAUAGUAUAUACUCUGUAUUUGUUUUCAUCUUUGGAUGAGAAAUAAGAGGUUUUAGUGUUGACAACUCUAUAGUGUUGAAAUCUUCACUAGGACACAAAACUUUUGUAACGAAUAAUUAUAAAGGCACAUAAGGCCGAAUGAACUCAAUCAUUCAAAAUCAACAAAGUUACAGAAGUCAAAUGUAUUUUGCAUGUUUUAUAAAAUCAGAAUCAGUAUUAUCAUACCUUGUUAAGUCUUUAACAUUGCAACAGUGACAAUGGUCAUAGCACAGUGAAAUAACACAUUAGAUGAUAUAGGACAAAUUCAAAAUUAAAGCAAGAAAAUAUAUAUACGUUCUUCCACUGCCAGUCUUUCAUUGCUAUUGCAGCUGAUAAUUUAAAAAUAUUUGUCAUUUAUAUCUUUCUGCAGUUUGUGUUUUGAUAAAUAACAAACUGAUGAGCCACUUAAUUCUGAAUCCACAUCUACAACAGAUACAUGCAUAUGACCAAACUGAAGGGGGGGGGGAAAAAUGGUAUGUCUGAUCAAUAAUUACACUUUUAUUUCUUAAAGGUGUCAUUUUCACACGACAAUCUUGUUCAGUUGCUUUUUUAUCCUUACAAACAUAAUGUGAAAUAAGUGGUUCAGUGGCUCCUUGGCUUUGUUUAAAAAGAACAAGCUCCAGUUAAGGGUGAUGAAGACAUUAUGGUUAGUGUUUAGGCAACCUAUAAACACCGCCACUGUAUGUGAAUUUUUGCUUCUUGACUGUGCAGUCAAGGAAAGACCUAAGCUCAGCCUGAGGGAACUCCACUGACUCUGGCCCUCGAAGACCAAACAUUCCCAGCAUGCUGUGAAUCCUCUUCAGGAGCAGACAUUCCAGGUUCUGAAGCAUCCCCAUGUUGUAUGUCCAGAACAUCUGGUGAAGAGCCUGACAUAAGGAGACCAUGGACUGUGCGUAGCUUCUUCACCCAGCUAGCAGGUAACUUCUUCAAGAAAGCGACCAUUGGACAGAAUGUCCAAACCUACCUCUGCAAAGCAGCCCAGGAUUUCACAGAAAGCUGUAGUCUUGCAUGAUAAUUGUUUUUAAAUCAUAUACAGUAUAUCUUCUUGCUAUUUUUCAUUCAUUAAGAAAAUAUUUAUAAGAUGAGGGUGAUAUUGUCCAGUACAUUAUAAGCAUCUUUUUUUAUACAUCUGUUCUUCAACAUCAGAUAUUGCAGUUGAGCCUGCAUGCUCUAUAACUGUGCCAGAUUCUCCUACAAAAGCUGAAUUAAAGAUGGAAAUCACAAAUCUUAAAGAAAAACUGAGCAGCCUGAUGGAAGAGUGAGACAGUUAAGAUAUCAGAGUGUGCCUAUUGUAAAAAUAUUGACCAGUUACUUCCUGGGGAAAAAAAAGUUAAAUCUCAGUUGAUUCGACUUCUGUGGGAAGAGCUAAAAAGCAUUGAUCUCUGUUGUCCACUUGGUGCGUGUGAUCUGAAA